GGCGCAUACCGCGGGAGCCCGCAGCAGCCAUGUCGCCGCUGCCCGGCUGAGAGGGCGUCAGAGCCGACCGCUUGACCUGAUCCGGCUAGUACCGGCGUAGGGAAGGAAUUCUUCAUGGGCA
rnacentral:ncRNA from 2 species